rnacentral:lncRNA from 1 species
CAUAAUACAAGAACAAGUGUGAACAUGCCAUAUAACAGCUCUAGGAAACGUAGAGUUUGAAGAACAAAGCCGAAGGCUCUUCUUUUAUUCCAUUACUACAGUAAACAAAACGAAGAGCCAAGGUUCAAAUCUGUGACGUUAAGCGUUUUCUUUCUCCUCUUCAUUGGCUGGCUAGUUUGAGAGAGUUGGCCUUGUCUUGAAGUGUACCAAGCAGACUCUCGAAACUCUUCUUGAACGAGUCUACACCUUCUUCUUCCAACUGUUCUCCCACUUUGUUCCAGUCUAUUCCCAGCUUCUCUAGUGCACUGUACACCCCUUCUGCUUCUGACACAUUCGCAUCUAUCGUCCUCUUCACCGUUCCAUGGUCAAUGAACGCUUCCAGCGCUUGAUCCGGCAUGGUUGACACCUAAACCCAAACCAAAAAUAUAAACACUUGUUUUGGGAAGUGAAACAUGAGACGGCAAACACAAAAGAUGACUCACAGUGUCAGGUCCAAUGAGAGGAGCAACAUAUAAAGUGUCAGAGUAAGCUGGGUUCUUGACACUUGUCGAUGCCCAGAGAAGCCUCUGCUUCUUGGCACCUUUCUUCACCAAAGCUUCCCAUCUUGGGCCUGAGAACUUUUUCUGGUAUAGUUGGUAUGCUAAUGCAGCUUGAGCCACAGCCGCCUGCAAGAACAACACAUCAGGUGUUCACAAACUCAUAAACUCAUUCACAGCAAUGAACCGAGAUUUUACCUUGCCACGGAGGUCUAGAGCUUCUGGGGUACCAAUCUUCUCAAGCAUCUUGUCCAUGAGAGUAUCCACCCUACUCACAAAGAAGGAAGCAACACUUGUAACUCUUGAGAGGUCAUCAAGUCCAGACGCCUCGAGUCCAUCCAAAUAUGCAUCGAUCACUGCCUCAUAUCUAGCUAUUGAGAAUAUAAGCUGCAACAGAACAGAACAAGGAUGUAUCAUAUAAGAACAUAACCGUUAAUUCCUGGAAAUGUCUUUAAAUAUUUGUAUACACCAACGUUCGUUUCGGGUUUUGAGACUGCUAUAAAUAUGAGUCUAAUCAGUUGUAAAUUUAUUCAUUCACGUAAUAAUAUACAAAUUCUAAAAACGGGUAUUUGCCUCAAUAUGUUUUGCUCUUGAGUUAUUUGCUUUCUUCAAGUUUGAUUCGUGUUUGUUCACAACACACUACAAUUUUUUUAAGUAUUAUAACUCAGUUUAGGACAAGUUACUUACCGUGACAUUGACACUUAUUCCAGAAGCAAUGACAUCUCUGAUGGAAGGAAUACAUGGAGCAGUAGCAGGGAUCUUAAUAUAGACAUUACGACGGUUCACAGACUUGUGAAGAAGUUUAGCAGCUUUAACAGUGGUUUUGGUAUCAUCAGCAAGCAGAGGUGAAACUUCAACAGAAACAUAGCCAUCCUCAGCAUCAGUCUGGUCAUAGAUUGGCUCAAAAAGCUUGCAAGCAUCUUGAAUAUCCUUCACCACAAGCUCCCAGUACGCUUUUUUAAUGGCCGUUCCAGACUCCACAAGUGUCCUAAUAAAAACAAAAAGAAACUGAUUCUAAUACAGCCAAAAAAGCAUCAUAAAGAUAUGCAUCCACACUAUUACCUGAACUGAUCAUUAUAAGCAUCUGAAGUGGAUAUGGCUUUCUGGAAGAUCUACAAAGGUUUUAAUAGAGUGAAGGAGUUUUAAGACAAAAUGAAACAACCAGAGAGUAAAAUAAAGGUAAAAGGGCACAAAGAGAGAUGGUUAUUAAAAAAUUACCGCAGGGUUGCUAGUUACACCACGAACGCCACGGGCAAUGAAGGGGAUAAGAUCAGUGACAGGACGGCAUAGAUUAUCAUACCAAGGACUCUGGCCUUCCUUCUCAUAUAGAUCGUGAAGAGUGGUUCUCUUUGCAGUACUUCCAUUUCCACCAGAGGCUGAACACCUCACACUGUAAAAUCAACCAAAGGAAGAAAGAGUACAUAAAAUCAAAUUCUGCUGCAGAUAGAGAAACAUAUAGUUUGCUUUUCUUAAACCAACCUAUCAACGUGAAUUGCAAGAUCAACCUUAUAGCAAGAAAAAGACUAUAGAGAGACAAGACACAUGCAUCAGUAAAGUUGAUAUGUAUACUUACAAGAGGGAAGGUCUGGUCUGUUUGUUGUAACGAAUAGAAAGAUGGGAAGCAGAAGAAAGCUUGGCGUUAAAACUGCGGAUGUUAACGAAGGAUCUUGGUAUGACAGAGGAAGAUCUGGGGCAGGUGGAAGUUGCGGGAGUAAGGUUGGUGAGAUUGGAAAUGGACGCCAUUUUUUUCCAGCUGGGGAAGUAUGAAAAGUGUUAUUCUUGGUUUGAUCGGAUGAUAAAAACAAGAAAAGUGAGAACCAAUGGGGUUUUGCUGGAAUGGUGAGUUAGGUGGACUAGUAAAAAUGAUGGAUUGCUGCUCUAAUAGUUGUCUGAUACAGAAUAGUAACAAUAAUCCAUCGAGCUAAUGGUGUCUUAUGAUAAACAUGAGAGGUUGCUUCACGUCUUGUAAUAGCUGCUGUUAGUUUGCAAGGGGUCGUACUUUGACUAAUCGUACUUUGAAAAGGUCAAACGUUUAGAAGACAAAAUGAGUCGAGAUACGGAACUCUUUGUUGUACAUACAGCUUUUAAUUUUUGAUAGCGCCUACAAACUUAAGAGAUACCAACUGAUCUGUUUAGGCAUGCAUAUGAUAAGCAUUAAACAAUAAACACAGACUAUAAACAGUCUUUCACCAUCAUCAUCGAAAAACAGAACUUAGAGUACACGUUCAAUAAAUAUGACAAGUUUCUUAUUAUUCAGCAAAAAAACAAGACAAUCUUGCUCUAAAUUGCCUUAAUAUUAAAAGAAAAAAACAGAUGAGAAUCUUUGAGACACAGACACUGUCUGCUGUUGUGCUUUUAUUCGUCAUUAACCAAUGAGUAACUUAUUCUCUUCCAAGAAGCUGUAGGUUGGUACCUCCAGGUUGUAUGGAGCAGGACCUUUCCUAAUCCUUCCAGAGAUAUCAUAAUGCGAACCGUGACAAAUAUGGCUGAUUCGGAUAAAUUUAAAUAUUUUGGUUACAAAUAUUUUUUGAAUAAUUCGGUUCUUUCAAGUAUUUCAAAUAGUUUUAAAUAUUUCAGAUAAAAAAAUUCUGGAUAAUUUGGUUUAUAAAUGAUAUUUUAGAAGUUCAGUAAAUUUUCAAUAAUAUAAAUUAUAUUUUAGAUAGUUACAUACCAAUUUAAUUUUCGCUUCAGUUUCGGUUUUGGAUUUCCAAGAUAUGGAAACUGUUUAAAUAAUUGUGAACAUCGGUUUGGUUUUGGAUUAGUUUUUUCAGAUUUGGUUCAGUUUUCAGCUUACUCACAAUAUGUAAAAGUUACUUAUAAAUUGAAGUAACUCCACUAAAACAUCAUAAUACAAGAACAAGUGUGAACAUGCCAUAUAACAGCUCUAGGAAACGUAGAGUUUGAAGAACAAAGCCGAAGGCUCUUCUUUUAUUCCAUUACUACAGUAAACAAAACGAAGAGCCAAGGUUCAAAUCUGUGACGUUAAGCGUUUUCUUUCUCCUCUUCAUUGGCUGGCUAGUUUGAGAGAGUUGGCCUUGUCUUGAAGUGUACCAAGCAGACUCUCGAAACUCUUCUUGAACGAGUCUACAC